rnacentral:rRNA from 1 species
GACGAACGCUGGCGGCGUGCUUAACACAUGCAAGUCGAACGGAAAGGCCCAGCUUGCUGGGUACUCGAGUGGCGAACGGGUGAGUAACACGUGGGUGAUCUGCCCUGGACUCUGGGAUAAGCCUGGGAAACUGGGUCUAAUACCGGAUAUGACCUUACAUCGCAUGGUGUUUGGUGGAAAGCUUUUGCGGUUCAGGAUGGGCCCGCGGCCUAUCAGCUUGUUGGUGGGGUAAUGGCCUACUAAGGCGACGACGGGUAGCCGACCUGAGAGGGUGAUCGGCCACACUGGGACUGGGACACGGCCCGGACUCCUACGGGAGGCAGCGGUGGGGAAUAUUGCACAAUGGGCGCAGGCCUGAUGCAGCGACGCCGCGUGGGGGAUGACGGCCUUCGGGUUGUAAACCUCUUUCACCAGGGACGAAGCGUGGGUAACGGUACCUGGAGAAGAAGCACCGGCCAACUACGU